AAACUAAGUGCGACUGGUAGACGUCAGGAAAGGGUUAACCCUUGGUGGGGAGCAGAGCUUGCUAAGGGUGUGAAAGGGUCUCUGAGAGGAAACAUUUUAUUUCUUGACUUGGAUUUGAAGGAACAUUCAGUUUCUGAAAAUAUGAAUUUUGUCCUCAUUUUCAUACUUUAUAUAACUAUUUAACCAUUCAAUAAAAUGUUCAAAAAUGUUUUCCUACUCCUGUCCCCCCAAAAAGCAGAUUACCUAUUAGAAGUUCAGACAGGGGUUAAUCUUACGGCUGAGGACAGUGACUAGAAGGUGAGCUGAGAGAUUUCCUGACCUUCUGUGGGUAUGUUCCCUUUGUGAACAGUCAUUGAGCUGUACACAUGUGUGUGUGUGUAUAUAAAACUGUAUAGACACAUACAUGUAGUUCAAUAAAUUUUACACUAAAAUAUAGGAAUACUUAAUUUUGAAAUUUUAAACUUUAUGUCCUGAAUAAUACCCUACAAAAAUGCAACCUAUCAGAUCUUUUACUGUUUUAAAUUUUAUUAUACAAUAAAAUAUUCCCCAGUUAGUCCCCUUCUGCUAUGCUAAAACAUUAUCAGUGAUAAUCAAUUACAGAUCAGAGAUCUUUUUUAGACCUAUGAAACUCUUUUUUGGUUCUCCUAUUGUGUUUUUCUAUCAGCCUGCUAGGAUAUUAAAAUGACUAUUUAGCUUGGGUUGGCAAAUACAUGGCAAACGUAUCCCAUCGUGCAUGCGUUUAAAACACCUGUAGUCUGAACGUGUGACAUAUCUACAUGGCUCACUAUCCCUCUGCCAGUCUAACAAAUACAUCAAACUGGAGUCUCAAGCACAGCAUCUCCGGGAAGACUCUCGCUUAUGCAGGUGGAUUGUGAUAGCUCACUUCACAGCUCUGAAAAACUAGGCAAGCACCUGGAACAACAGAUGCUCCAUCAAUAUGACAAUCAGGGCAGAUUUAAUUUUCUGAGAUUAAAGAGUCCAGGCCUUAAUCUGCUAACUACAUAGAAACAAGGAGAGCAGUUAGAGUCAUUUUACCAGAUAACUAAUAAGAUUUAGUAAAUAGAAUCAUUUUAUCAACUAAGUACAUGUAAGAUUUCAGCUGGCAACAGAUUUAUCUGUUGUGAUUGAGUAGUUGCCAUUUUAAUUAUACUAUCUUUUUAAUGAAGAAGGUUGGGAAAUUAUGCCAUUCAGAAUACAGACAGGCUUUAGCAAACAUUCAAAGAACAGAUAAAUACUGCAUGUACCUUAUUAACUUUUCUACCAGCAAAGUUAAAUCUAUUUAAUGUGUCCCAUCUGAAAUCAGAAACUACCACAUGCACGUGAAAAACGCUGAAUCACAGGCGCUAUUUCAUUCACAAUUACAUUAAAACAAUUAGAGAAAGGCAUAGUACACUGUAAAACAGAAAUGGUGCUCUUAAUCACUGAGCAAUAAGUAAGGAAUCAUGGAAGGAAUAAGGAAAGAGUAGGAAAAUUAUUUUGGUGUCUGCCUUAAGCCAAACAUGCUUGG
rnacentral:lncRNA from 1 species